AGUUUCUCAUUGCAGGGUGAGAGCUCUGAGUUCCGGUGUAAGAGAAAAGAGACGUGGCGAAAUUGCUGUAUAUCUCUGCCCUAUAAGCACAUCUCUCAUUUAGACUGAAGGGAAACAAGGCAUCAAAAAGGCUGCGCAAACCAUGCAGGAUGAUUUACUGAUGGACAAAAGCAAAGCCCAGCCCCAGCAGCAGCGGCAGCAGCAGCAGCAGCAAGAUCCAAACUCAGCAGAAGCCCCCUCUACGCCCAUCUCGUCGGAAACACCUAAACCAGAAGACAACAGUUCAGUGACUAGUAUCGGCACAUCGGCUCCUUCCCAAAAUAGCAAGGAGAAGAUGCAGAUGGAGUCUCCCAUUUUGCCUGGCUUGAGCUUUCACCAGCCUCAACAAGAACCUGCAGCCGGCACCUCCUUAUCUCCCUCCUUUGGCAGCACCUGGUCUACAGGGACCACAAACGCGGUGGAUGAUAGCUUUUUCCAAGGGAUUACUCCAGUCAAUGGGACAAUGCUUUUCCAGAAUUUUCCACACCAUGUCAACCCUGUAUUUGGUGGCACUUUCUCGCCUCAGAUUGGCCUAGCUCAGACUCAACACCACCAACAUCAGCAGCAGCAGCAGCAAGCUCAGCAGCAGCAGCAGCGGAGGUCACCUGUAAGCCCUAAUCAGGCACCUUUCGCCCAGAGAAAUGCUGCUUACAGCCAUCAGCCCAUCAUGACCAGCAAACCGUCUUCCUCCUCUGCCUCCUCUUCUUCCUCCUCUAGCUGGAAUAACCAUCAAAACGCGGCUUGGAGUACACCUUCCAACCCUUGGGGUGGGCUGCAGGCUGGUAGGGACCCUCGAAGGGCAGUUGGAGUGGGGGUCGGCGUGGGAGUGGGGGUCGGUGUACCCUCCCCCCUCAAUCCCAUUUCACCCCUUAAAAAACCAUUCUCCAGCAAUGUCAUUGCCCCUCCGAAGUUCCCACGGGCUGCACCCUUAACCCCCAAAUCCUGGAUGGAAGACAACGCAUUCAGGACGGACAAUGGCAACAAUCUGUUGCCUUUUCAG